GAUGAACGCUAGCUACAGGCUUAACACAUGCAAGUCGAGGGGCAGCAUUUUAGUUUGCUUGCAAACUAAAGAUGGCGACCGGCGCACGGGUGAGUAACACGUAUCCAACCUGCCGAUAACUCGGGGAUAGCCUUUCGAAAGAAAGAUUAAUAUCCGAUAGUAUAUUAAAACCGCAUGGUUUUACUAUUAAAGAAUUUCGGUUAUCGAUGGGGAUGCGUUCCAUUAGUUGUGGCGGGUAACGGCCCACCUAGCCAACGAUGGAUAGGGGUUCUGAGAGGAAGGUCCCCCACAUUGGAACUGAGACACGGUCCAAAACUCCUACGGGAGGCAGCAGCAAGGAAUUUUCGUCAAUGGGCGCAAGCCUGAACGAGCAAACGCCGCGUUGGAGGAUGACGGCCUUGGUUGUAAACUCCUUUUCUAGGGGACGAUUGUGACGGUACCCUGGGAAUAAGGCUCGGCUAACUCUGUG
rnacentral:rRNA from 1 species